ACAAGAUGGCCGCCGCCCCUCUCCCCGCCAACCCCCAAAGCCUCUGAUUUUCCCCUUUUCCCGCCAUUGCACAGCCUUAAGGAGGUGUCCGAGGCUGGAAAUAAUGUGAUAGUCGUUCUCUACGCCCUUAGAAACCCCUAGAGACCGCCGGAGACCAGAGAACAAGGAGAAAACAGAAAUCUUCCUCUGAGACCAAGACAAGGAAGAUGAAGGAGGAAGAGAAGAAGAAGGAAGAAGGAGGAGGAGGAGGAGGAGGAGGAGGAGAGAAUGGCAUCGGAGAGAAGAGAGGAGGGGGAGGAGGAGGAGGAGGAGGGAGGAAGGGAGGGAAGAUGGUCCUUGCCAGAAUCAAGUUGCUCGACGGCACUGAAGUGGAAAUUCCCAUUGAGAAAAAGUGCCGUGGCCAGGACCUGCUGAACGCCGUGGCUGAGCGGAUCAACCUGCUGGAGAAGGACUACUUUGGCCUCUGCUACAGUGACCCUAACAGCGGUGUAGGCCUAAGCAGUAGUAGCGGAAAUAUUAACAGCAGUAGUACUGGGAUCAGCUGUGGGUAUACCUGGUUGGCACAUGAUAAACGGAUCUCAAAACAGGUACGUGUGUGUGUGUUUGUGUGCGUUUUUCUGGGGGUUCCGGUGUGUGUGCGUGUUUGGGAUUCGGUGUGCGUGUGCGUAAUUUAUCUGUGUGCGUCUGUGUAGGUUUUCGUUGAGCUAUCUUUAGUGGUUUUAAAGAUAUCUCACAAAAUGUAGAAUCUUUUUUAUGCUCAAAUCAGAAUUUUUUAAGUGUGUGUGUGUGUUUGUGUGCGUUUUUCUGG